UAGUCUCUGAUGCAUGAUUUUUUUUUUAAUUAAUUGUUUUUGGCUUUUCAGUAACUAAGAGUACUCUCAAAUCGUACUUUCUUGUUUAUUUGACCUGUUGAUACUAUUUGUAAUGCUCUUUAGUUAUUUAAUGUUUACUUAUUCAGGGAUGUAACUGGUCUAUAUACCAGCUUUGAUAAGUGUUUGAUAGUACUAUACAUUUUCUCUAGAAAGGUUAAAGUUAUGCCACUAAAAUUCAAACUUGAUCCGUGUUUUGCG
rnacentral:lncRNA from 1 species